UACGAAGGGGGCUAGCGUUGCUCGGAAUCACUGGGCGUAGAGCGCACGUAGGCGGAUCUUUAAGUCUGGGGUGAAAUCCCAAGGCUCAACCUUGGAACUGCCUUUGAUACUGGGGAUCUCGAGUCCGGAAGAGGUGAGUGGAACUGCGAGUGUAGAGGUGAAAUUCGUAGAUAUUCGCAAGAACACCAGUGGCGAAGGCGGCUCACUGGUCCGGUACUGACGCUGAGGUGCGAAAGCGUGGGGAGCAAACAGG
rnacentral:rRNA from 1 species